AGAUUCCACUGAUUGAAAAUUCAAAAGUUUUUAUUUUGAUAAAAGCCUGAAGUCCAUCACAGUCCUAAUAUGCACCUCCCACCCAAAGCACAGCCACGAUCAUGCUCCGACGUAUUACCAGACCUCAGUUUUCAUGGCCAACGGAACAUUAGCAUGCUUAUUGCUCUCACCGAUUAUCCCCACUAUGUACGCUACAUUAGCAAACUGUACGAUUGGCCAACCCCCUGCCUGCACAAUCAACAGAGAGCGUGAAUGAAUGAUCAGCCAUUAGCAGGUCGGGUGUGAACUGUGAAAAUGGGCUCUCACACCAAUGACUGCAGGAGGCCUUGAUUUGCUUUAGCCUAGCCUAGCGUCCUGCUAGCAGGGGCCUGCACUUGUUACGCUGUGGCAGGGUAUCAGCUAGCAUUAGCCUGCUCUGCCCAAUGUAAUGCAGUGGAAUACAGACUAGUGUAGCGUGCUGAAGCCCAGUCUAGUGGAGUGCUGUGUGCAAGAUCAUAGUAAGACUCCUUGCUAGCAUAUGCUUGUGUUUAAUGCAGCGACCUGCUUCUGCAUGGUGUUGAUGGAGGAGAAGAGAGGACGAGAAAGGAGAAGACGAGAUGAGAGCAGAGCAAAUUCCCCUUCUACCCACCUAAGUUUACUUGUAAAUAUGGCCUCUCCUGGUAGCGCCCAGCUGGCGAGCUGCGAAUCGGCAGGGCAGAGGCAGGAGGCAGUGCCAGCUCUACUGGUGCAGAAAGGGGCACACCAGGCAGACAGGCCCAGUGUCAGCAGCAGCAGCAGCAUGCUAUCCCCCCGGCUGCCACAUUCACAGCACACACACAUAUGCCCGCGUAUAUAUUGCUGCAACUCAAACACAUGCACACCAGCGUCAGCGGACCAAUGCCACAUAGGUUUGGUCCGACUGGGACCUAGUUAACUGGGACAAAACAUUUGUUUACACACUAGACUAGUGCAAACAGGCACACAGCCACAUUUAGUCACACACAGUCUCAUGGCAGGAAAAUUCACAAGAAGAAAAACACAGCUUUUCUUUGGUGCCGUUCACAGACUCCUAAGCGAUUAGUUUGAAAGCCCUGAUGUCAGCCUUGGGACCGUCGCGCCCCCUGGAGAAGUCUGAGCUGCACGAAGCAUGUAAUAGAGCACAUAGCGACACGCAUGUUAUUAGCUUGUAUUUUCCUAAGGGUCAACACUUGAAGCUCUUUGUAAUUAAGAAGAUUGAGAUGGGCCUCCUGCCUGUAGUCACCCCUUCUUACCUUUAGCCCGGGGUAUUUCUGUUUGUCAUGUGGCUACCGAUUUAGCUUGACCUUCCUUUAUUAACCCAUAAAACCCUGCUUCCCUGGGGUCAGCCUUACAGUAAUUAAGAUCAGCGGGAAGACGAGAGCACGUUGCACCUUGACUGACAAAACUUUAAAGCUGGUGCAUUCAAGUGGCUUGAAUUGAAAUGUCAAGAAACAACGCAACAAUACAUAUAUGUGACAUGAAUUUCAAUAGCGGCCACAGUGUCUUCAGACUCAGGAAUUCAUAUGGGAAUUGUUUGUCCCUGCAUAGUAAAAGGAUCUCGCUUAUUUGCAUAGUGUUUGAUUAUCAGGGUCUUGGGUAUUCAGCCAAACUUCCUUAUUUGUGUUUGUGCCUCUGUGUGUGUGUCUUCUGACCCCUUUCACACAGAGAGACCCCCAAUUGUGCUCUAGUAGCCAGCCGAGCUCAGUGAAGCAGAGCCUAUAUGCUCAGUGGCAUUUCACACACCCAAACGCGUGCAUGUAAACACACAUGAAUAUCAUUUAUCCAGCUGGGGUCCCAUGUGACACACACACACACACACAGAUGCACACAGACAUCGGUUUGGAUAUGGAAAUAAUAGUUGGGGUCUUAUCCCCUAAUGUACGCCUUUCAUAGCACCUCUGUGCAGCUGAAACCCCCUCAGCCCUGUUAUCAGUCCAACUCUUGCUCAACUCUGCAGGUCAGCCCACACUUUGCCUCCCCCAGGAUUUGAGGCACACUUCCGCCUUAAAAGUUGUACGCCACUACCUUUGAUAAUCAAGAUAGAAACUAAUUGAGCUCACCCAUGCAGAAGAUGCUCUCGCCUUUUUGCGCGCACACACUUUUUGAGGAGAUGGGGGCCGAUACUGUUUCAGCUCAUCCAGCUGUGAGAUUCUCCUUUCCCCUUUCCAGUCCUGCCAUCAUCUCACUAAUGGUGUUUCUAUCUCUUCUCCAUAGGAGGUAAAUGAAGCUUUUAAGCAGGGUGGAGGGAAGGGGGACCAGUGAAAAGAUUAAUUGACUUUCUGCAGAGCUUCACUUAUCCUCUACUGGCACCUUUGACUCAAAGGUGGGAGGUCAGGUCAUUCUUGAAAACAGCACUUCCACAGUGGGCAGACACUCAGUAGCUCACUCAAGGACACGUAUUACCAGGACUUGAACACUGGCUGGCUGAAGGCUGGCCCACUGCAAACCAGGGAUUAUGGCUCCAAAGGGACAACUUCUGAAAACAUGCUGUCAUGAUGUCUUCCUGGGACAGUUGAGUACUCCACAGCCAUCAUAAACACCUCUGAUGUUCCUCCUCUUAUGGGUCUGUAUUAACUUUCGGACUCCCCAGUUUCUUCAUUCCUCGCCGCUGAGCCAGGCUGGAGGACUGUACAGGCUCCAGGACCGGAGCAGGAGCACAGCGCCUCAGAGCAGAAUAGGUAGCAGACAGUGCCCCCUGGUGGAGUAAACAGAGACUGCAUUAUAUCGUCAUAACAUUAGCCUAAUAUGUCCAAAUGGUAGACAGCGCCUCCCUCGGGACAGACCGAGAAACAUACUUUACUAAUGCAUCAAUACAUCAAACAUCAAUACAUCAUACAUCAAUUCUGCCUUGAACACAAAUAGCAGCUCAUUGAGGGAACAGAAAUGCAGACACAUUUAAAACUCACACAUAUUGCACACAUACUAAGGCCAGUGAGCAGUGAACAGCAACUGACACAAAAUCUAGAUUUUGCUAGCUGAAAUGCCAGUUGUUUUUAACACCACAUAAACAACACAUAAACAUAUUUUUUUUGCUCUUACAAUAAUAUGGAUCUAUACUGAAUGUCUAUACUGAAUGUCAGAGAAUAACAAGUAUUUGGUAUGAUACACUCAUGAUGUUUGCUGUAUUCACACAUGCACACAGGUCUUACCUUGACAGUGAGUGCAUCCUGUCUGGUGAGGGGUCUGUCAGAUAGCUGGUCUCUGUCUACAAUCCAGGGGUGACGGAGAACCUGUCGGAAAUCACAGCAAAAAUGAUUUUUUAACGUAUUUUUCAAAAACUGCUCCAAACAGUGAUAUACCAACAAUACAGCAAGCUACCGUACCAUCCUGACUAUUUUAGCAGAAGGGAGAGAAUAUGGGAACAUGUGGGAGAAACGGGUUUUCAGAGUAAAUGGACAGAACAAGAGUAAAAACUAUAGAGCACACAAGUCAUAUUAAGGCAGUUUUACACUGACUUUUCUGUAUUAAAGAAUACAGUCUUCUCUGUUUGGAAA